UACGUAGGCAGCAAGCGUUGUUCGGAGUUACUGGGCGUAAAGAGUGCGUAGGCGGUCUUUUAAGUUUGGUGUGAAAUCUCCCGGCUCAACUGGGAGGGUGCGCCGAAAACUGGAAGGCUCGAGGAUGGGAGAGGCAUGCGGAAUUCCUGGUGUAGCGGUGAAAUGCGUAGAUAUCAGGAGGAACACCUGCGGUGUAGACAGCAUGCUGGACCAUUUCUGACGCUGAGGCGCGAAAGCGUGGGUAGCAAACAGG
rnacentral:rRNA from 1 species